rnacentral:tRNA from 1 species
AGGGCUCAGUGGUAGAGCACCUGCCUGACGUGCUGGAAACCCUGGGUUUGAUUCCCAGU